rnacentral:lncRNA from 1 species
GCUUCGUCGGUUGAUUGUAUACUGAGCUCUCUUCUCUUUACGCUCUCUGCAAACUCGCUGAAUUUAGCCUGAUCUGCAACAGCCGCGUCUCACAAUUUAGCCAUAUCUUUAUAUGCAAUUAGGGUUGCACCAGCGAACAAACCAGAGAGCACAGCUGCAACCACCACCACAGCUUUUGGUUUAUGCACUGAUUUCGGCACCUGAAUCUCAAUCUCUGACGCACUGGAAUGAAAAUUGUUGCUCAAAAGAGCCUUCAUUGCAUUUGUUAAUUAGAAGCAUCAAACCAUUUACCAAGAAAAAUCUUGAAAUUUCAGAAAAGUUGAGAGAAAGAGAGUUACUUACGGUGGCACGGAGAGGAGGAAAUGGGACCUCGGGUGACAGAGCGGCGGAGGAGGAUUAGGGCAUAGGGUUUGACGGAGGGGGGCGGAGGAUCGCCAUUUUGGAGCAGUUCUCAGCAGUCGUCCGAAAAUUGCCAUAGCUUCUUUCUCAAUUCUCAUGUGAAAAUUUUGAUAAACAUGCGAACUUUAUGAGGUGGUGUUUGUUUAUUUGUACGUAUGUAUGCGUAAUUGGAAAGAGGUCAUCUCUUCCAUCAAGAUCACCGAAUCAAGUGAUCUAGAUUUUUGAAAUUUGAUCAAACGGUUAAAAACAAAGAUCUUUUUAAAAGUUAUAAUAAUUUUAACCGUUGAAUCAAAUUUCAAAGAUCCGAAUUAUUUGAUUUAAUAACCUUGGUGAAAAAGAUCCGGAGAUGAUCUCUUUCCUGCGUAAUUGUAGUAAACAUGCAAACUUUAUGAGGUGGUGCUUGUUUGCAAAUUAACACCAGUUUCCAGUAUUUAUAUUGGGCUGGGCCCAGUGGGUUUUUAAUACUAUUCAUUUUCAUUACAAGUGUUUAUCAUUACCAUUAUAAGUUGUUAGGAUCUACCUUAACUUUAUUAUGGAAUGGAUGCAUAUUUUAAGGGGGUGUGCGGCGGGUGUGCUAUUCACACACCCUAUUUUACCUUUUACAUAUCUUUUGUUAAUUUCUGCCCGUUAAUUUUCUUCAAUUCAUCCAAUCCGACGGCCGAAAAUUAGAAGGGUGUGUGAAAAGUAAAAUAUGGUGUGUGAAUAUCACACCCCUAUUUUAAGUGGUAAGACAAUUCUCACAUUAAAUGAGACUAGUGCAAAAAUCAUAUGAGAUUAAAAUACAGGAAUACCUCAUGCUUUUAUAAGAUAUGUACUACUAAUAAGGGGUCAGACAUAUUACUUGAAACUUUCUCAAAAAUAAGGGUAAAACUAAAAGGAAAAGAUGGGGAAAACAUUCUCAAAAAAUAAUGGUGAUUACAACGAGCCUUUAUCUUGAACAAAGGAGUCUACCGCCCUUCCAUUUUGUGUUCUAUUUAGCAAGCAAUAGCCACAAAAUCAGCCGCCUGUCCUCUCUUGCAAAUUUGAGUCAAUAUAUUAAUAUGUAGUCAUAGGAGGAAAGAUUACUUUGUGUAAAAUAUUUACCCACCAAGUACCAACUUUUUCAGAAAUUUUUAAUUGUGAUCAGAACACGAGUGGCACACCACGUGUUUUUAUAUAAGUGAUGAGAAAUUGUAUUUUUUAAGUUCUUAAUUUUUUAACACACAUAUCCCACU